UACGUAGGGGGCGAGCGUUGUCCGGAAUCAUUGGGCGUAAAGAGCGUGUAGGCGGGCCGGAAGGUCUGGUGUGAAAGCCCGGGGCUCAACCCCGGAGGGUCACUGGAAACCAACGGCCUUGAGUCCGGAAGAGGAGAGUGGAAUUCCUGGUGUAGCGGUGGAAUGCGCAGAUAUCAGGAGGAACACCAAUGGCGAAGGCAGCUCUCUGGUACGUGACUGACGCUGAGACGCGAAAGCGUGGGUAGCAAACAGG
rnacentral:rRNA from 1 species